GCAAGGUGCUGCAUGGUUGUCGUCAGCUCGUGCCGUGAGGUGUCGGGUUAAGUCCCAUAACGAGCGCAACCCUUAUCAUUAGUUGCUACGCAAGGGCACUCUAAUGAGACUGCCGGUGACAAACCGGAGGAAAGGUGGGGAUGACGUCAAGUCCUCAUGGCCCUUAUGGGUAGGGCUUCACACGUCAUACAAUGGUCGGUACAGAGGGUUGCCAAGCCGCGAGGGCGGAGCCAAUCCCACAAAGCCGAUCGUAGUCCGGAUUGUAGGCUGCAACUCGCCUACAUGAAGUCGGAAUCGCUAGUAAUCGCGGAUCAGCACGCCGCGGUGAAUACGUUCCCGGGCCUU
rnacentral:rRNA from 1 species